rnacentral:rRNA from 1 species
AUUCCAGCUCCAAUAGCGUAUAUUAAAGUUGUUGCAGUUAAAAAGCUCGUAGUUGGAUUUCUGUUCUCGAGGAUCGGUCCGCCUCACGGUGAGCACUGGUUUUUCUUGGGGACAUCCUCUCGAAGGCGGGUGGUGCACUUAAUUGUGUGCUGCUUGGAUUCGGGACCUUUACUUUGAAAAAAUUAGAGUGUUCAAAGCAGGCGUCGGCUUGAAUACAUUAGCAUGGAAUAAUGGAAUAGGACUUUGGUUCUAUUUUGUUGGUUUCUAGGACCGAGGUAAUGAUUAAAAGGGACGGUUGGGGUUCUUCGUAUUCAAUUGUCAGAGGUGAAAUUCUUGGAUUUAUGGAAGACGAACUGCUGCGAAAGCGUCGAACAAGGACGUUCUCAUUG